rnacentral:lncRNA from 1 species
UCCAAACAGGCUCUCAAAAUAACCGAGAGAACGUUAAAAACCUUACAAGGGCAAAAGUUUGUUCGGUCAACAAAUCACUUACCAAAAAGUUCGUUACAAGGUGUAUAACGUUUGAAAAACGAAACAAAAACUUACUCUGGUUCGACUUUGAGGACUAUCUUCAUGAGUUCAUAAACAAAGUAACUUAUUGCAGCAGAUGCGCGGACUUGCAUUUGAAGUUGUCUUCUAA